UACGAAGGGGGCUAGCGUUGCUCGGAAUUACUGGGCGUAAAGCGCACGUAGGCGGCUUUCUAAGUCGGGGGUGAAAUCCUGGAGCUCAACUCCAGAACUGCCUUUGAUACUGAGGAUCUUGAGUUCGGGAGAGGUGAGUGGAACUGCGAGUGUAGAGGUGAAAUUCGUAGAUAUUCGCAAGAACACCAGUGGCGAAGGCGGCUCACUGGCCCGAUACUGACGCUGAGGCACGAAAGCUAGGGGAGCAAACAGGAGU
rnacentral:rRNA from 1 species